GGUGAUGAUGGCAGAGAGGUCACACCCGUUCCCAUACCGAACACGGAAGUUAAGCUCUCUAGCGCCGAUGGUAGUUGGGACCUUGUCCCUGUGAGAGUAGGACGUCGCCAAGC
rnacentral:rRNA from 14 species